rnacentral:rRNA from 1 species
UACGUAGUGUGCAAGCGUUAAUCGGAAUUACUGGGCGUAAAGCGUGCGCAGGCGGUGAUGUAAGACAGUUGUGAAAUCCCCGGGCUCAACCUGGGAACUGCAUCUGUGACUGCAUCGCUGGAGUACGGUAGAGGGGGAUGGAAUUCCGCGUGUAGCAGUGAAAUGCGUAGAUAUGCGGAGGAACACCGAUGGCGAAGGCAAUCCCCUGGACCUGUACUGACGCUCAUGCACGAAAGCGUGGGGAGCAAACAGG